CCGAAGACUGAAAGACCGUAUCCAGAUACGGUAAUUUCUUUUACCGAUGAGGACUAUCCUUCUGAGCCCAUCGAACCCCAUGAAGGAGCCUUGGUAAUUACUGCACAAGUGGGUUCUGUAACGCCCCCAAAAUAGGUCCACACGACCCAUUCUGAGUCGCCAGAUAUCGCACUAUAAAAAUCAAAUAUAAACUUCAUUUAUAUAACUGUUGAACUGUCGUGCAGAGUACGACAACAGAUAAGCUGUGAGUUUUAAUACAAAUGUAUGUAACUCUCAUGGUGCCUCGACCACAACCUUACAAUGGUACUUUACAUAAAAGUACAGUCAAAAACUGUUUUAGAAAUUAAAAUCUUUGGGAAGUGCUCAAGGAAACCUUCGUACAUGGGAGGCCAUGCGUCUAGGUUAUGAUAGAAAUCAUAUGUCCACAGAAUUAUCCUUGGUUGACUCAAUAGACCCCAAAGAAAAAUAAGAAGAUUACUAUCAUGUUCUUUCCAAUGGUGAGUCUUCUCUUGACAUAUAACUAUCUCCACUGUCUGCAAUUGAAAAUUAUAUUUCAACCAAACUCCAAGAUCAUAUAGGUAGUGCUCGUAGAUAUACUCAGGAAGUGGAUGUGCACAACCAUGUCUUAUGAUAACACGAGAUUGUAUGUCAUUAGACAUCUUGUAUAAUAGUGGCAAAACACCCUUCCAAAGUUGGGUUCACCUCACCCUAUUCGGUUCACCAAAAUUAAAUAUCAAAUGAAGUAUACAAUACGACACACUUAUCUAAAGUUCUCAAUAAAAUUAUUUCCAUACUAUUUAGGGAGAACCUCAACAGCUAUAGACCACCAUUCUAUUCUCCUGUUACCCCCGCUCGACCCAGCUACACUCUUAUUACCUGAAAGAAAUUGUGAAGUAAAAAGGGUGAGCACAACUAGCCCAGUAAAGAAUAUCAUAACUAAAGAUAAUUUACAUCAUCAAUAGCCUUCAUCAGUAAUAAAUCAGAGAUUUAAGACAUAUGGUAGAUGAUAAAACUUUUCAACAAUAGUUGCAGCGGAACGACCAAUCCAUUAUAAGAGACAAAUAGACCAUCAAGUCUAUUAUCUUCUCCAUGUUAAAAGUCCACCAAUAAUAUUUUAUCCCUGUAACAUCAAUCAACAAUUCAUGUCCACAAUCAUAUGAAUAACUCAUAAUCAUAAUUGUGAUUCUAAAUUCCUCUUCGCACCCAGGACGAAGAUAAUUUUCAUCACCUAUCUUCACCUAAAACAUCAAAAAUCAUGGUUAUACCAAAUCACAAUUCCUGCUCAUAAUCAAACUAAUAAAUUCAUCUUUGCACUAUGGCCAAAGAUAUUCAUUAAUAAUUCAUCUUUGCACUACAUGUCAAAGACAUACAACUGUAUUUUAGAAGAGUCAAGUAGAGCAUGAUAUCUACUAUCUUUUAUGAAUUAAAAGUUUAUAAUCAAUAUUUUAUCGCUGAGACUCAGCUUAAUAAAUAAUCCACAUCAUCAAAUCAUCCCUGCACUACGGCCAAGGAUAUUCAUGUAAUCAUCAAUAGUCAUGAUUAUACCGAAUAAUCCCUGGUUAUAAUCAUACCAAUAAAUGUCCUUAAUGCAUUACGGGCCAAUGAGGACUUUUACCACAUCAUCUAUAACAUUACGGGUCAUGAUUAUAUCGAAUGAUCCCUGGUCAUAAUCAUACNNNNNNNNNNNNNNNNNNNNNNNNNNNNNNNNNNNNNNNNNNNNNNNNNNNNNNNNNNNNNNNNNNNNNNNNNNNNNNNNNNNNNNNNNNNNNNNNNNNNUGGUGGUUGAUCAUGUCCAUAUAUAUAUAUAUAUAUAUAUAUAUAUAUCGCUUUUAUAUAUUUACAUUUCCGAUCCCCCAUGGAGUUGCUUCAUGGUGGUUGAUCCUGUCUAGGAGUGAUCAUUCGGUUAGAACCGAAAACCAAAAUAAUGCUAAUUUUACUAUCCGAACUAAUAACCAAAAUUUCAAAAUAGCCGAAUUACUGAAUACCGAAUUACCGAAUUGUAAUUUCGGUAAUUCGGGUAAAAACCGAAUCACUGUCCAGCAAGUGGUACUGUUUAACAUCAGAGAAAAAAUUAAUCAGAGAAAAAAUGGAGAAACCUGACGACAUAAAGGAAAACAAGCAGUCAAGGUAGCAGAGGAGGGUGAAUUUUUUUUUUAAUUUUUUAACCCCCAAAGUCUAACAGGCUGAGAGGAAAAAGUGAAGGACUACCAAAAUUACAUAUCAUCAAGCCCAAGUGGGGCUUUAGAUUGUUCAAAUUUCUUCUCAGAUACUCCUUACCGAGGCACCAACCGGCACAAGAAAUCACCACCAAAUAGACAACUUCAACAGCAAACUUUAUGUACAUCUUAGAUCACAAGACAACAAGAAAGCAGUAAAGGGGCUAAACAUCAAAAGAUAACCAUACAAACAAAUAUCUUAUUUUCCUCCAAUGAAUACCUUCACAAUCUGCUAACAGACUUUGAUUUGACAAGGAAGAUAUUCAUAACGCAAAGAAACAGGCUACAGAUAAUCCUAUGGCUCCUGCUGGAGAGUCUGGAGUAGCUUAAACAAAACAAUUUUAAACAUAUAAGAUUCUAAAGCUGUGAAGCAAGAUGAAGAUUCUCAAUUUCUCAGAUCUGAAGCCAACUGCCCGACUCGGUCGGUCACUUAGGAGGAGAGAGGAAUACUUAGGACUUUAGGAUCUGGACUCUACUCUAGAGUGGAGUACUGGAGUUAGGCAGUAAGGCA
rnacentral:lncRNA from 1 species